AGGGGGGGGGGGGCUAAUACAUGCAGUCGAGCGAACUGAUUAGAAGCUUGCUUCUAUGACGUUAGCGGCGGACGGGUGAGUAACACGUGGGCAACCUGCCUGUAAGACUGGGAUAACUUCGGGAAACCGAAGCUAAUACCGGAUAGGAUCUUCUCCUUCAUGGGAGAUGAUUGAAAGAUGGUUUCGGCUAUCACUUACAGAUGGGCCCGCGGUGCAUUAGCUAGUUGGUGAGGUAACGGCUCACCAAGGCAACGAUGCAUAGCCGACCUGAGAGGGUGAUCGGCCACACUGGGACUGAGACACGGCCCAGACUCCUACGGGAGGCAGCAGUAGGGAAUCUUCCGCAAUGGACGAAAGUCUGACGGAGCAACGCCGCGUGAGUGAUGAAGGCUUUCGGGUCGUAAAACUCUGUUGUUAGGGAAGAACAAGUACGAGAGUAACUGCUCGUACCUUGACGGUACCUAACCAGAAAGCCACGGCUAACUACGUGCCAGCAGCCGCGGUAAUACGUAGGUGGCAAGCGUUAUCCGGAAUUAUUGGGCGUAAAGCGCGCGCAGGCGGUUUCUUAAGUCUGAUGUGAAAGCCCACGGCUCAACCGUGGAGGGUCAUUGGAAACUGGGGAACUUGAGUGCAGAAGAGAAAAGCGGAAUUCCACGUGUAGCGGUGAAAUGCGUAGAGAUGUGGAGGAACACCAGUGGCGAAGGCGGCUUUUUGGUCUGUAACUGACGCUGAGGCGCGAAAGCGUGGGGAGCAAACAGGAUUAGAUACUUGGGUUAGUCCC
rnacentral:rRNA from 2 species